CCUACGGGUGGCAGCAGUGAGGAAUAUUGGUCAAUGGGCGCAAGCCUGAACCAGCCAAGUCGCGUGAGGGAAUACGGUCCUAUGGGUUGUAAACCUCUUUUGUCGGGGAGCAAAAGCGGCCACGCGUGGCGUUCCGGGAAUACCCCGAGAAAAAGGAUCGGCUAACUCCGGUCCAGCAGCCGCGGUAAUACGGAGGAUGCGAGCGUUCUCCGGAUUUAUUGGGGUUAAGGGGUGCGCAGGCGGACGAUCAAGUCAGCGGUAAAAUUGAGAGGCUCAACCCCGUCGAGCCGUUGAAACUGGUGGUCUUGAGUGAGCGAGAAGGAGGCGGAAUGCGUGGUGUAGCGGUGAAAUGCAUAGAUAUCACGCAGAACCCCGAUUGCGAAGGCAGCAUACCGGCGCCCAACUGACGCUGAGGCACGAAAGUGUGGGGAUCGAACAGGAUUAGAUACCCUAGUAGUC
rnacentral:rRNA from 1 species